GUUUUAUUUAAGUCAAAUAUGUUGUUUAAUUUUAAGUAAUUGCGAAUAAAAUAUAAUUGAUAAAUAAUUUAAAAUUUUAAGUUUAUGGACAAAUUUAAAUUAUUAAGUGAAAUAAAAUGUGGGGCAAAUAAAAGUUCUUAAAUGUGGGGAAACUUCAAUAUGCAAAGAGAAAAAUAGAAAUUUACAAUGUAACUUAAAAGGAUCUCUUUGGAGGUAGUUGCCCCCACUGUCCCCCUUGUAGAUUCAUCACUAACUCUGGUUGAACCUUAUAACUCUUAACCCUUUGCCUCCAUUAGUUCAAUGACUAGGCUGGGUUUGAAAACCAUGGAACUAAUAGUACAGUACAAGAAGAAAAUUUAACUCAUUGACGUGUUUCCUUUUGCUAAGUUAAAAACAUAUGCGACUUGGAAUGACAUAUAUUACUUCUCUUUUUUU
rnacentral:misc_RNA from 1 species